UGCUUGUUGGGGUUGUAGGACACUCUAUACGGAGUUACAAAGGACGACAUUAGACGAAUCAUCUGGAAAGAUGAAUCAAAGAAGGUAAUAAUCCUGUAGUCGAAAAUGUUGUCUCUCUUGAGUGGAUCCUGAGUACGACGGAACACGUGAAAUUCCGUCGGAAUCUGGGAGGACCAUCUCCUAAGGCUAAAUACUCUCUAGUGACCGAUAGUGAACCAGUACCGUGAGGGAAAGGUGAAAAGCACCCCGGAAGGGGAGUGAAAUAGAACCUGAAACCGUGUGCUUACAAGUAGUCAGAGCCCGUUAAUGGGUGAUGGCGUGCCUUUUGUAGAAUGAACCGGCGAGUUACGAUUUGAUGCAAGGUUAAGCAGUAAAUGUGGAGCCGUAGCGAAAGCGAGUCUGAAUAGGGCGUUUAGUAUUUGGUCGUAGACCCGAAACCAGGUGAUCUACCCUUGGUCAGGUUGAAGUUCAGGUAACACUGAAUGGAGGACCGAACCGACUUACGUUGAAAAGUGAGCGGAUGAACUGAGGGUAGCGGAGAAAUUCCAAUCGAACCUGGAGAUAGCUGGUUCUCUCCGAAAUAGCUUUAGGGCUAGCCUCAAGUGAUGAUUAUUGGAGGUAGAGCACUGUUUGGACGAGGGGCCCCUCUCGGGUUACCGAAUUCAGACAAACUCCGAAUGCCAAUUAAUUUAACUUGGGAGUCAGAACAUGGGUGAUAAGGUCCGUGUUCGAAAGGGAAACAGCCCAGACCACCAGCUAAGGUCCCAAAAUAUAUGUUAAGUGGAAAAGGAUGUGGCGUUGCCCAGACAACUAGGAUGUUGGCUUAGAAGCAGCCAUCAUUUAAAGAGUGCGUAAUAGCUCACUAGUCGAGUGACACUGCGCCGAAAAUGUACCGGGGCUAAACAUAUUACCGAAGCUGUGGAUUGUCCUUUGGACAAUGGUAGGAGAGCGUUCUAAGGGCGUUGAAGCAUGAUCGUAAGGACAUGUGGAGCGCUUAGAAGUGAGAAUGCCGGUGUGAGUAGCGAAAGACGGGUGAGAAUCCCGUCCACCGAUUGACUAAGGUUUCCAGAGGAAGGCUCGUCCGCUCUGGGUUAGUCGGGUCCUAAGCUGAGGCCGACAGGCGUAGGCGAUGGAUAACAGGUUGAUAUUCCUGUACCACCUAUAAUCGUUUUAAUCGAUGGGGGGACGCAGUAGGAUAGGCGAAGCGUGCGAUUGGAUUGCACGUCUAAGCAGUAAGGCUGAGUAUUAGGCAAAUCCGGUACUCGUUAAGGCUGAGCUGUGAUGGGGAGAAGACAUUGUGUCUUCGAGUCGUUGAUUUCACACUGCCGAGAAAAGCCUCUAGAUAGAAAAUAGGUGCCCGUACCGCAAACCGACACAGGUAGUCAAGAUGAGAAUUCUAAGGUGAGCGAGCGAACUCUCGUUAAGGAACUCGGCAAAAUGACCCCGUAACUUCGGGAGAAGGGGUGCUCUUUAGGGUUAACGCCCAGAAGAGCCGCAGUGAAUAGGCCCAAGCGACUGUUUAUCAAAAACACAGGUCUCUGCUAAACCGUAAGGUGAUGUAUAGGGGCUGACGCCUGCCCGGUGCUGGAAGGUUAAGAGGAGUGGUUAGCUUCUGCGAAGCUACGAAUCGAAGCCCCAGUAAACGGCGGCCGUAACUAUAACGGUCCUAAGGUAGCGAAAUUCCUUGUCGGGUAAGUUCCGACCCGCACGAAAGGCGUAACGAUUUGGGCACUGUCUCAACGAGAGACUCGGUGAAAUCAUAGUACCUGUGAAGAUGCAGGUUACCCGCGACAGGACGGAAAGACCCCGUGGAGCUUUACUGUAGCCUGAUAUUGAAAUUCGGCACAGCUUGUACAGGAUAGGUAGGAGCCUUUGAAACGUGAGCGCUAGCUUACGUGGAGGCGCUGGUGGGAUACUACCCUAGCUGUGUUGGCUUUCUAACCCGCACCACUUAUCGUGGUGGGAGACAGUGUCAGGCGGGCAGUUUGACUGGGGCGGUCG
rnacentral:rRNA from 1 species